rfam:Vibrio parahaemolyticus RIMD 2210633 DNA, chromosome 2, complete sequence.
AUCACAUUUCGGCAAACCAUUCGAAAGGAUGGGACGCAAAGCUUCCAGUCUGCCAGCACUGCUUAACUAGUCAACACUAGUGCUUAAGAUAACGGGGUUGCCACU